rnacentral:rRNA from 1 species
UACAGAGGUCCCGAGCGUUGUUCGGAUUCACUGGGCGUAAAGGGUGCGUAGGUGGUGGGGUAAGUCAGUUGUGAAAUUUCCGGGCUUAACCCGGAAAGGUCAACUGAUACUGCAGGGCUAGAGUGCAGAAGGGGCAACUGGAAUUCUCGGUGUAGCGGUGAAAUGCGUAGAUAUCGAGAGGAACACCUGCGGCGAAGGCGGGUUGCUGGGCUGACACUGACGCUGAGGCGCGAAAGCCAGGGGAGCGAACGGG